UACGGGGGGGGCAAGCGUUGUUCGGAAUUACUGGGCGUAAAGGGCUCGUAGGCGGCCAACUAAGUCAGACGUGAAAUCCCUCGGCUUAACCGGGGAACUGCAUCUGAUACUGGAUGGCUUGAGUUCGGGAGAGGGAUGCGGAAUUCCAGGUGUAGCGGUGAAAUGCGUAGAUAUCUGGAGGAACACCGGUGGCGAAGGCAAUCCCCUGGGCCUGCACUGACGCUCAUGCACGAAAGCGUGGGGAGCAAACAGG
rnacentral:rRNA from 1 species